rnacentral:tRNA from 1 species
GUCACGACAGCUCAAGUGGUAGAGCAUUGGCGUAUGUAGCCGAAGGUCGUGGGUUCGAAUCCCGCUCGUGACA